rnacentral:rRNA from 1 species
AUUGAACGCUGGCGGCAGGCCUAACACAUGCAAGUCGAGCGAGCGGCGGACGGGUGAGUAAUGUAUGGGGACUGCCCGAUAGAGGGGGAUAACUACUGGAAACGGUAGCUAAUACCGCAUACUAUCGGAUAACCCAUAUGGUAUUCGCUAGUAGGUGGGGUAAUGGCUCACCUAGGCGACGAUCCCUAGCUGGUCUGAGAGGAUGAUCAGCCACACUGGGACGGAGACACGGCCCAGACUCAUACGGAGGCAGCAGUGGGGAAUAUUGCACAAUGGGCGAAAGCCUGAUGCAGCCAUGCCGCGUGUAUGAAGAAGGCCCUAGGGUUGUAAAGUACUUUCAGUCGGGAGGAGUUAACGAAAGAAGAAGCACCGGCUAACUCCGUGCCAGCCGCCGCGGUAAUGG